GAGACCUCAGGUCAGGCGGGGCUACCCGCUGAGUUUAAGCAUAUCAAUAAGCGGGAGAACAA
rnacentral:rRNA from 1 species